rnacentral:rRNA from 1 species
UAGGGAAUCUUCGGCAAUGGACGAAAGUCUGACCGAGCAACGCCGCGUGAGUGAAGAAGGUUUUCGGAUCGUAAAACUCUGUUGUUAGAGAAGAACAAGGACGUUGGUAACUGAACGUCCCCUGACGGUAUCUAACCAGAAAGCCACGGCUAACUACGUGCCAGCAGCCGCGGUAAUACGUAGGUGGCAAGCGUUGUCCGGAUUUAUUGGGCGUAAAGCGAGCGCAGGCGGUUUCUUAAGUCUGAUGUGAAAGCCCCCGGCUCAACCGGGGAGGGUCAUUGGAGACUGGGAGACUUGAGUGCAGAAGAGGAGAGUGGAAUUCCAUGUGUAGCGGUGAAAUGCGUAGUUAUAUGGAGGAACACCAGUGGCGAAGGCAGCUCUCUGGUCUGUAACUGACGCUGAGGCUCGAAAGCGUGGGGAGCAAACAGG